CAAUAGCGUAUAUUAAAGUUGUUGCGGUUAAAAGCUCGUAGUUGGAUUUCUGCGAAGGACGAACGGUCCACCUUAUGGGUGUGCAUCUGUCAGGCCUUUGCAUCCUCGUGGGGAACGUCGCUGCGCUUCAUUGCGUGGUACGGAAUCCACGACUUUUACUUUGAGGAAAUUAGAGUGUUCACGGCAGGCAAACGCCCUGAAUAUGUUAGCAUGGAAUAAUAAUAUAGGACUUUGGUUUUAUUUUGUUGGUUUCUAGAACUAAAGUAAUGAUUAAUAGGGACAGUUUGGGGGCAUUUGUAUAAACGCGUCAGAGGUGGAAUUCUUGGAUUGCGUUUCGACAAACUACUGCGAAAGCAUUUGCCAAGGAUGUUUUCAUUGAUCAAGAACGAAAGCAUGGGGAUCGAAGAUGAUCAGAUACCGU
rnacentral:rRNA from 1 species